UGGGGAAUAUUGGACAAUGGGCGAAAGCCUGAUCCAGCCAUGCCGCGUGUGUGAAGAAGGUCUUCGGAUUGUAAAGCACUUUAAGUUGGGAGGAAGGGCAGUAAGCGAAUACCUUGCUGUUUUGACGUUACCGACAGAAUAAGCACCGGCUAACUCUGUGCCAGCAGCCGCGGUAAUACAGAGGGUGCGAGCGUUAAUCGGAUUUACUGGGCGUAAAGCGUGCGUAGGCGGCUAAUUGAGUCGGAUGUGAAAUCCCCGGGCUUAACUUGGGAAUUGCAGUCGAUACUGGUUAGCUAGAGUGUGGGGGAGGAUGGUAGAAUUCCAGGUGUAGCGGUGAAAUGCGUAGAGAUCUGGAGGAAUACCGAUGGCGAAGGCAGCCAUCUGGCCUAACACUGACGCUGAGGUACGAAAGCAUGGGGAGCAAACAGG
rnacentral:rRNA from 1 species